rnacentral:sRNA from 1 species
AGUGCACGCCUGCAGGGGGGAUGAGAACCCCCGACCGGGGUUCGACAACUUGCGACAGCCAGUUGGACAGACCACGAACGCAGUGAGUGGGCUGCCCGAAGGGCGAGCGAAGCGAGUCAAUCCCCCCCUCACCGCCA